CGUGCAGAGACUUGUUAACGGUCUGUUGGACCGCUGAAUAUUAUUUUCUCCCAACAGUAACGUUUUUCAGCAUGCUGAGGCGUAAUGAAUGCGACGACUGCAAGUCAUAUAGCUGCGUGUCCUACCACUAUGUACUCAAGAAUAGUCUGGCUUUAAUCGCACGCACUGCAGAUGACGAAGGUGAUAAUUUCCCCUGAAAGGCCAGCAUAGCUUGGCAUGACAUUUAAGUGACAAACUGUGAAGGUGGUGUGAAGGAGGUCCCCUGCCCUGGUAAGUUUCAGUGGGGUAGGUACUACUGCUGUUCUGUAUUAAUAUUUCAUUCAUAUGUAUCCCGUUGAUCAUAUGUGGUGUCAGUGUUGAGUUCUAAUGCUGUUGUUAGUAAGUUUCAGAUUGACCAGUGGUGUGCACAGCACAGUGGAAAAGACGAUGAAAUAGCGCUGCUCCACCUCCACAAAGGAAGAAAGUACUAUGCAAAUUGCAAGGAAGAGAAGGGCAACAGUUGAACAAAAUGAUUAUUUCACAGCAGAAGUAAUUUAUGUCUUUGCUCAUCUGGUGAGGGAGAUCAAUUUGACCUGUUCACUUGUCGGUGUCGCUUAAGACAAAAAUGAUCUAUAUCUGACAAAAAUGCUCGAGAAACCCAUUCAAGUUCCAGUCCUGCUGUAUCACGGCGAAGGGACGUGCCUGUCCAGUAAAUGACCGCAUUGAAACAUCACGAAGACUUCAACCUGAAGUAUGUUGCAUUGGUUAGGGAACGCUUUAGGUGCUGUUAAUCACUUUAGAUCCUAACUGUUUGUUUGUGUUGUUUCUAGGCAUAUGAUUAUGUUCCAUGUACAUAGCGUGUAAUGUGCAUUGUAAUGUUCAAUUUCUGCUCUGUAUCAGAGGCACAAUAAAUGUAUGUUUUUUAAA